rnacentral:lncRNA from 1 species
CUCCAAUGGCCUCUCUCCUUGCCACUCUUUUAGUGGCAACAAUCUCUCUCAGCUUGCCAUCAGAAAGCACAGCAGACUACAAGUACUCCUCUCCUCCACCUCCUAAGAAAUCCCCUCCACCACCACCUCCUCCUUAUCACUACAAAUCCCCACCACCUCCUCCUCCAGUGCAUUCUCCGCCACCACCAGUGCACCCUUACAAGUACAAGUCACCACCACUUCCUCCACCAGUGCACAAGCCUCCACCUACACCACCAACGCACCCUUACAAGUACAAGUCUCCACCGCCUCCUCCAGUGCAUUCUCCACCACCACCAGUGCACCCUUACAAGUACAAGUCACCACCACUUCCUCUACCAGUGCAUAAGCCACCAACGCACCCUUACAAAUACAAGUCCCCACCACCUCCUCCACCUUCACCACCAACGCACCCUUACAAGUAUAAGUCCCCACCACCUCCACCAGUGCACAAGCCUCCACCUUCACCAACGCACCCUUACAAGUACAAGUCUCCCCCACCACCUCCAGUUUACAAGUCCCCUCCACCACCUCCUCCAGUUUACAAGUCGCCACCUCCUCCUCCUCACAAGAAGCCAUACAAAUAUAAAUCUCCACCACCUCCUACUCCAGUUUACAAGUACAAGUCUCCUCCACCACCACCACCAGUACACAAGUCUCCACCACCACCUCAUUACAUUUAUGCAUCACCCCCUCCACCUCACCAUUACUAGAUCAUGGCGCUCAUAGUUUCAAGGUACAUGCACGUACGAUUAUUUUGACAAUGCCAAGUAUAUAUAUCUUAAUUAAUAAGUCUCUGAAAACAUAAUGUCAGGUCAAAAUAUUUCAGUGCAGCAUUGCAUUGAAUUAAUUGAUUACUAAGUUUUUUUUUUUCACACAAAUUAAUAUUUAUCGUUUAAAGAUGCACCGGUACUGACAGAUCCAAUGUAUAUGUUUUUACAGGUAAAUGGAAGAGUAUCAUGCAAUAAGGAAAAGGAUGCGAGCAGGAGCUAGCCUUGCAAGGAAGGAAAGGAUAGCUAAUGCGUAUAACGGAGCAAUCUGUGUUUUAUUUAGAAGAUGAAUAAAAAUACAUGUAGUAGAAUUUCCUCAUUUUCAUGUACUAUUACAGAGGUCUGGUACCGGUGAUCGGUUUGCUUAUUUGGUCUGUCGAAAAGUAGCUUAUAUAUAUGUAUGUAUGUGAUUUGAAACCUUUUGUGUGCUGUUGCGUGCAUGGUUGUUUUCAUAUGAAGUGGUAAGAUUAAUAAAAUAAUCUUUAACCAAAACAGAAGGUUACGCUUCACUUCUUUUUAUUAGCAUAUUUUUAUUUUAGUCACCGCGCGCAGUUUCGUUUAAGUGUAACAAACAUCUACUACUUUGUAAAACCGGCAUGCUUGACUAGCUAGCCAGUACAGAAAGAAGAGCUAGCUAGUAUCCUUGGUAGCUAGCUAGCCAGUACGAAACCGUUAAUUUCCCCAGGACCCUUGGUAGAAUUCUUGAACAGUUAAUGGACUCGCCUAGGCGCCGUUAGGUACGCGGUGGAGUUAUUUUUGGUUCUUUAGCUGGACAUCUGACGAGCAUUUUCUGGAUAUAAAUUAGAUUCAUCCAGCUUGCUAUUAUUCUGAUCACUUGUUUCAGUUACGUAUAUAUAUGUUGCUAAAUAUAUAGUCUUUCUGCAGUAGCUUUUCAUUUUUCAUAACAAGAUCUCUUGCCAGCAAUUCCCCGCUACUAAUUGACAACAAAUUAAUAUUUAUGUUAUCCUAGACUUGCAUUCAGUAAUAAGAAUCUCGGUAUAGUGAUUUUCUUUUCUUUUCUUUUUAUAUGUAGUGUGAACGUUGCCAAAAUAUGAAUGGAAAGAUGUGGAAAAUAUUUAAUAAAUAAAACCAGUGAUUUAGUUCUAGAAAGUCCGCACUGAAGGAAUUAAAAUGUCAAAACUGGGAAGCGCAAAGGACAAAUUUUGCGCACACUCUUCUCUAUAUGCGUUCACAUGCUAUUUGAUAUAUAAUGCAAGAGCAAGCUUUCUAUAGUCAUUAUCUUUUUUGGUAAUCAAGACAAGAUGAAAGGGGGUAAGCUGGAAAGGCAAGUGCUGUCUAGCUAGCUAGUAAAGCAACCAUUAGUAGUCUUCCUUGUUUGCAACUUGCAACUUGCAACAGCCCCAAUCACGGAAAGAUAAAAACGGAUAUUCGUCCACACAGGGAGAAGUUUUGCAAUCUACUGAUUCUUAUCUGAUGCCUACAUCAUGUCUUGCUUCUAGUUAAUUAAUGGCAUAUAUCACCCUGAAUUUUAAUUUUGUCUUCUAAUUAAUGCUCUUCAUCGCAAAUACUCUGUUUAGUAAUGCUAUCAAGUGCUAACAUGUUGCUUUUACAUUAAUAUAGAUGUGUACAUAUCUUUCUUUUCUAUGAGCUAUGAGCCUUUCUUCGAUUUCUGAAAUGCAGUACUAAGUAACCUAAUGCCCUAUGGUCUUAUUUCGUAUCACUAAAAUCGGCUAAAACUGCAGGUUAAUUUCUAAAGAGGCAUGCAUGCCAUAAUUUCAAGAGCAAUAAAAAUCGACCCCUUAAUUACACCAGUAAAACACUACAUGCAUGUCACUGAAGUUGAAGAUCAUGACAGAUCAUUGAUGGUAUCAGCCAUUAUCAUUCAGCUAGAUAUAUAGUACAGUGAGAUUUCCUUUUAUUUCUGCUCUCUCGCACAGCUAUGCAUAUAAUAUUGACAUCUUUAUUUUAGGUUUAGUUUCUUGGCAUUGAUCUGCAGCGUAGAUUCAGCUAUCUCUGUUCUGUAUACAUUAUGCUUUGCAACAACGUAAUUAUUCAUAAGCGAUACAUAUUGAAAGAACUAUGGAUUGCACGAUAACCAUAAGCUAAACUGAAAGGGAGAGUGAAUCAUGCCAUGAAUCAAACUGUCUAUUUUAAAAUUUUACUUAAUUGUUUGAAAAUGCAAUACCAAAAACUAUUAUGUUUGAAAGUGUGGUUAUAUUGUUUUUCCAAGUGUUUUCUUAAAAAUAUAUUAAAAUAAUAUUUUUAAUUUUAAAAAAUAAUUUUUGAUAUUAGCGAAUUAAAAUAAUUUAAAAAUAUAAAAAAUAUAUAAAUUUAAAAUAAAAAAAUAUAUUUAUUUAUUUUUCAAAUAUUUUUAAAAUACAAAAAUUAACAUGGUUUCGUCUUCCCAUAACACGAACGUACAUUUCGAACUUUUAUUUAUUUUUGUAUUCACAAAACGUCAUGCGCUCCAUUUCUCCUCCACAGGCGUUAGUUCUGUCUUUCACCAGCUCUGCCGUACAGAUCUAGUGUUUACUUGCUCAAAGGCACGUGAGAUGAAGUCGUGGAGAUUAAUAACUUUCCUCGCAAAGAACCAUCACACUUGUAUCCGGCCCGGUCUAAUUCACGCAUCUUUGAAACGUAAACAAACAAUAUUUUCUGCAUUUAUUCUUUUAAAAUAUUUUAGUCAAUCUAUUUUGCAUAAAAAAAUAUUUUUUUAUAUUUUUUUAUCUUCAAAUAUUUUACAGAAAAAAUAAUUUAUAAAAAAUAAUUUAUAAUCAGUUUUCAAACAUGAUUUGUUUUCUAAAUAAUAAUUAUAGUUUAUAAAAUUCUAUAAAAUAUUUUACAAGUAAUAAUUUACUUAUUAUAUCAUUUAAUUAUUUUUACCACCACUUCUUCCUUCUCCACAACCUUCCCAUUCAUUAUUAUUAUAACUUUUUUUUUCCACCAUUAUUAUUAUUUCAUCACUACAAUCACUAUCUUCUUUUCCUUUAUUAUCAUUAAAAAAAUAUUUUAUAAGAAAUUAUUUUUUAAAAAUAAAUAUUGAAAAAUAUUUUAUGCUGAAGGGUGUUAUUGGUACAUAGAAGAAGAAUAAUAAUAUUGCAUCUUGUUGUUAUCUGAAAGAUAAAAUUAAUUGAAAGGUAUCUUUAUCAUUCAUUUUGAUCUCUAGUUAAAAGUAUUAUAAUUGCGAGUUAAUCUAAUCCGAAGUUAAUGCUUUUUUUCUUGAUUAGCUAGCAUUGCUUACGUAUUUGGAGUCGUAUAUUUAAGAGUCGGUGAUUAAAAUAAUUCAACUAGCUAGAGAACUGAACGUGACUAAUCAAAUCUUGAACAUGGUCAUAGCAAGAAUUUUAAAUUGGGUUACAGUUUGGUAACACGUUAAUCCAGAAGGGAUUUUACCUUUGCAUAUAUAUAUAUAUAUAUAUAUAGAAAGCAAUGAUAUUAGAAAUGACUUUUAGGUGAAUUGAAAGUAAAAAUAUGUUUGGAAAUGUAAUUGUGAUUGUUUUUUAAAGUAUUUUUUUAUUUAAAAAUAUAUUAAAAUAAUUUUUUUAUAAUUAUUUUUUAUAUCAACGUACUAAAAUGAUUUUAAAAUAUUAAAAAAUAUAUUAAAUUGAAGUAAAUAAAAUAAAAUUUUAAUUAUUUUUAAAAUACAAAUACAAACAAGAUUUGAGUACAAAUAUAAACUGAUAGAAAAAAAACACUGUAUGUUUAUUCUAUGGGUAGCUAUUGUCAUGUGAAAUUUUUGUUUUAAAAAAAUCUUCUACUAUACACCAAUACAUGGAUUACAAAAAUAAAAUGAUAAUGUUUUUUUUUUUUUUUUUAAGAAACCAACAACCUGGUAUAAGAUGUAAUAAGGUAUUUUUUUGCUUUUGGCAAGAUUAUAGUGGUAUCACAGUCAAAUUGUUUAUUUAAUAUGUUAAUUAGGGUGGAUUUGAGUUGAGUUUUUUUGUUAUCAUUGUUUUUCAUUUUUUUACCAUUGUUAUAUUUUUUAUUUAUAUUAUUAAAUUAAUUGAAUUUAUUAAAUACGUUAAUAAUUCAAAUUCAUUUUUUUUUUGCUUUUUCUAAAAUGACUGCAUCACCUUAAUAUUUUUUUUAGGCUAAAAGAAACUGAGGCGGCAAACGAUACAGCGUGAAGUACCUAUCUAGUAAUUUCCAAGCUCAUUAAAGGCAUGCAAAAAUCAAAAUAUGGAGACAGAUUAGACUGGAGAAAGUACUUUUUUUUUUUUACUAGAGAGAGUAGCCGCCUGGUCCCUCAGUGAGAAGAAAAAAAAAGUCAGAGAAGUUAGGCCAUUUUUUUUUUCCUUUUUUAUAGCUAGCUUCUGGUUGAGAAAUUGAUUUAGAAGUUACAAUGGCUAAAAAACAAAGGACAUAUGGAUAUAGUACAACUAUAAGACUAUAUUCAAGAUUAAUUUGGUUCUAGAUAGUCAUGUAUCAGUGGUUACACUCUGUCUUUUUCUAAAAUAAUAAAAAAAACUAAAACUACAUUGUUUUUACAAAAAAAACAUGUCUUUCCGUUUACUUGUGAAUUAGGUGAAGUCCCGAGCUAGCUAGUCAUCAAGAGUUAACCUUUUUUUCUGAGGCGGUAAAUUAUCUGGUUGGUCCGCAGACCAAGCCAAUGUACGUAGUCUUCACAAUAAUUAAACAAAAUCUAUUCACAGUAACAUUGUUUCAAGUGAACACAUAUAGUACAUGAAUUACUUAUUCUAUUUCCACACCUUUCACUAAGGUUAUAAACUUCUCCAAAGUAUAUUUUACCAUGAUUGGUUUGCUACGUGUUCAAGGGUAAAAACCAAAUCUAUAUAAAGAGAAGCGAGGGUUGCCUAAUAGAAGCAGAACAAGAUCUCUUUUGUAGUGAAGUCGGCAAAAAUGGGGUCUCCAAUGGCCUUUCUCCUUGCCACUCUCUUAGUGGCAACAAUCUCUCUCAGCUUGCCAUCAGAAAGCACAGCAGACUACAAGUACUCCUCUCCUCCACCUCCUAAGAAAUCCCCUCCACCACCACUUCCUCCUUAUCACUACAAAUCCCCACCACCUCCUCCUCCAGUGCAUUCCCCACCACCACCAGUGCACCCUUACAAGUACAAGUCACCACCACCUCCUCCACCAGUGCACAAGCCUCCACCUUCACCACCAACGCAUCCUUACAAGUACAAGUCCCCACCACCUCCUCCACCAGUGCACAAGCCUCCACCUUCACCACCAACGCACCCUUACAAGUACAACCACCUCCUCCAGUGCAUUCUCCACCACCACCACACGCACCUUACAAGUACAAGUCUCCACCGCCUCCUCCAGUGCAUUCUCCACCCCCUCCUCCAUCGCCAGUUUACAAGUACAAGUCUCCCCCACCACCUCCGCCAGUUCACAAAUCACCACCCCUACCACCCAAGAAGCCCUACAAGUAUAAGUCUCCCCCACCACCUCCACCAGUUCACAAGUCACCACCCUACCACCCAAGAAACCCUACAAGUAUAAGUCUCCACCGCCUCCUCCAGUGCAUUCUCCACCCCCUCCUCCAUCGCCAGUUUACAAGUACAAGUCUCCCCCCACCUCCGCCAGUUCACAAGUCACCACCCUAUCACCCAAGAAGCCUACAAGUAUAGUCUCCCCCCACCUCCCAGUUCACAAGUCACCACCCCUACCACCCAAGAAACCCUACAAGUAUAAGUCUCCCCCACCACCUCCAGUUUACAAGUCCCCUCCACCACCUCCUCCAGUUUACAAGUCGCCACCUCCUCCUCCUCACAAGAAGCCAUACAAAUAUAAAUCUCCUCCUCCAGUUUACAGUCGCCACCUCUCUCCUCACAAGAAGCCAUACAAAUAUAAUCUCCACCGCCUCCUACUCCAGUUUACAAGUACAAGUUCCUCACCACCACCAGUACAAGUCUCCCACCACUCAUUACAUUUACGCAUCACCCCCUCCACCUCACCAUUACUAGAUCAUGGCGCUCAUAGUUUCAAGGUACAUGCACGUACGAUUAUUUUGACAAUGCCAAGUAUAUAUAUCUUAAUUAAUAAGUCUCUGAAAACAUAAUGUCAGGUCAAAAUAUUUCAGUGCAGCAUUGCAUUGAAUUAAUUGAUUACUAUGUUUUUUUUUCCACACAAAUUAAUAUUUAUCGUUUAAAGAUGCACCAGUACUGACAGAGAUCCAAUGUAUAUGUUUUUACAGGUA